AACGCGUGCACCUCCAUAAAUGUGUUAACUUACGGUGAUCUCAAUACCCUCGUCGGCCAAGAUGAGAGCAGAGUAACUUGUAGCAAGUUCGGAGGCAGACAUUUUGGUGUUGGUAAAGAUAUCUUAUUGAUUUGUUGUGCCUAUUGCUGUGUAAAGUAGUGUGACUGUUUUAUUUGCCCAAACCCUAACCUACUAUAAAUUAUA